rnacentral:rRNA from 1 species
UAGGGAAUAUUAGAAAUGGACGAAAGUCUGAUCUAGCAACACCGCGUGUGCGAAGAAGGCCUUCGGGUCGUAAAGCACUUUUUGGAAGGAAUAGGAAGGAAUGUACUUCCAGAAUAAGUCUCGGCUAACUACGUGCCAGCAGCCGCGGUAGCACGUAGGAGGCAAACGUUAUCCGGAUUUACUGGGCGUAAAGCGCGUGUAGGUGGUACUGUAAGUAGGGCGUGAAAGCUCCUGGUUCAACUGGGAGAGGCCGUUCUAAACUACAGAACUAGAGGAUGGUAGAGGGAGGUGGAAUUCCAGGUGUAGCGGUGGAAUGCGCAGAUAUCUGGAGGAACACCAGUGGCGAAAGCGGCCUCCUGGACCAUUCAUGACACUCAGACGCGAAAGCUAGGGUAGCAAACG